CACAUCUAGUUGUUCUCGUCCCUCCAAUGGCCUCCUCUAGCUCUUCUUCCUCACGAUCUCAUUAUUCCGCUAGUAGAGUUCAAGGUGCACCAGUGAGAUCGCCGAUAAGGUACCGGCAAGGUCCGCUAGACUAUGAGCCAUAUGACCCGUUUGAAUGCAGGCCGCCUAAGAAAGCAGCCAUGUGGAUCUCGUGGAGCGACGAAAAUCCAAGGAGGAGGUACAGAAGUUGUUACUAUUCACGGAGGGGAGGUUGCCAGUAUUUCAUAUGGCAUGACGAUCCAAUCGAUGAUCCGUUCCUUAAGCAGCUGGUACUGGAUCUGAGGGACCAAGUGUGGCUGCUUGAGAGGUUGAACUCGAACCUGCAUGAUGCUAAUGAGCCAUUGCAUGUGCAACCCGCAGCUGACUCGUCGUCUCCGUGAAGCUAACGAGACAUUGCAUGUGCAACCCGCAGCUGUGGUGCCAGUUGUUUUGCCGGAUCAGAGGUUCAAACACAUGGCCCGCGCUAUGUAUGUGUUGCUGGUAGCUCUGUUUUGCUACAUCUUCCUCAGGGUUUAUUAGAUGAUUCUGUUUACGAACAAGUAAUAUCUUAAUCAUGUUCUAUGUGUUGGUGUGAGUGAGUGUGUGAGAUUUAGUGCAUGGAGAAUCCAUCCCAGCCUGUGCCUUAAGAUUAGUUGUGUGAGUGUGAGCGUGACCCCGAGGGCAUGCCGAAUGUAUCCUAUCCCAGUAUGUGUCACAAAAUUCGUAGUUUCAGUGCAUUAUUGUUCGAAA